rnacentral:rRNA from 1 species
CGGUAAUUCCAGCUCCAAUAGCGUAUACUAAAGUUGUUGCAGUUAAAAAGCUCGUAGUUGGAUUUCUGCGGGGACGGAGCGGCCGGUCGCAACUUGCGACUCGAGCUAGCGCUUUCCCCGCAUCCUGCCGCGAACCGUGCUACCAUUAGUUUGGUGGCGCUGGGGAUCGGCUCGAUUACUUUGAGAAAAAUAGAGUGUUCAAAGCAGGCCACACGCCUUGAAUAAGUUAGCAUGGAAUAAUGACUAAGGACUUUGGUUCUUUUCGUUGGUGUUCGGGACUGAAGUAAUGAUUGAUAGGGACAGUUGGGGCGGUCCGUAUUCCAAAGCGAGAGGUGAAAUUCUUAGACCUUCAGAAGACGAACAGCUGCGAAAGCGUUCCGCAAGGAUGUUCCCUUUGAUCAAGAACGAAAGUUGGGGGAUCGAAGACGAUCAGAUACCGUCGUAGUCUCAACUAUAAACUAUACCAGCUAGGGAUCGGCCAACGUUUAAUUAUUCGACUUGGUCGGCACCUUAUGAGAAAUCAAAGCAUCUGGGUUCCGGGGGGAGUAUGGUCGCAAGGCUGAAACUUAAAGGAAUUGACGGAAGGGCACCACCAGGCGUGGAGCCUGUGGCUUAAUUUGACUCAACACGGGAAAACUUACCAGGUCCAGACAUAGGAAGGAUUGACAGAUUGAUAGCUCUUUCUUGAUUCUGUGGGUGGUGGUGCAUGGCCGUUUUUAGUCGGUGAAGUGAUUUGUCUGCUUAAUUGCGUUAACGGACGAGACCCCAGCCUGCUAAAUAGCGCGGCCGAGCUUUGCUCGGUACGAGCUUCUUAGAGGGACCAUGAUGCGCGAUAGCACAAGGAAGUUUGGGGCAACAACAGGUCUGUGAUGCCCUUAGAUGUUCUGGGCCGCACACGGGCUACACUGGCGCCUGCAACGAGCAUAUCAGCUGGCCCGAGAGGGUCUUGGCUAAUCUUUGGAACCGGCGCCGUGCUUGGGAUUGACCAUUGCAAUUGUUGGUCAUGCAACGAGGAAUGCCUUGUAGACGCGAGUCAUCAGCUCGCAUUGAAUACGUCCCUGCCCUUUGUACACACCGCCCGUCGCUCCUACCGAUGAAUGUUCCGAUGAAAUUUUCGGAGAGCGCCGGAGAACGGGGCUCUGCCCUGCAGAACUGGAGGCUCAAAGUCACUUAAAUCUGAACAUUUCGAGGAAGGAGAAGUCGUAACAAGGUAACC